rnacentral:rRNA from 1 species
UAUAGAAAUACUCAAGCUAUGCAUCCCAAACGCGUUGGGAGCUUUCCCCAUAUGGUCGACCUGCAGGCGGCCGGGAAUUCACUAGGGAUUAGAGUUUGAUCCUGGCUCAGAACGAACGCUGGCGGGCAGGCCUAACACAUGCAAGUCGAGCGCCCCUUCGGGUGAGCGGCGGACGGGUUAGUAACGCGUGGGAACAUACCCUUUCUCUAAGGAAUAGCCACUGGAAACGGUGAGUAAUACCUUAUACGCCCUUCGGGGGAAAGAUUUAUCGGAGAAGGAUUGGCCCGCGUUAGAUUAGAUAGUUGGUGGGGUAAUGGCCUACCAAGUCUACGAUCUAUAGCUGGUUUUAGAGGAUGAUCAGCAACACUGGGACUGAGACACGGCCCAGACUCCUACGGGAGGCAGCAGUGGGGAAUCUUAGACAAUGGGCGCAAGCCUGAUCUAGCCAUGCCGCGUGAGUGAUGAAGGCCUUAGGGUCGUAAAGCUCUUUCGCCAGGGAUGAUAAUGACAGUACCUGGUAAAGAAACCCCGGCUAACUCCGUGCCAGCAGCCGCGGUAAUACGGAGGGGGUUAGCGUUGUUCGGAAUUACUGGGCGUAAAGCGCACGUAGGCGGACUAUUAAGUGAGGGGUGAAAUCCCAGGGCUCAACCCUGGAACUGCCUCUCAUACUGGUAGUCUUGAGUUCGAGAGAGGUGAGUGGAAUUCCGAGUGUAGAGGUGAAAUUCGUAGAUAUUCGGAGGAACACCAGUGGCGAAGGCGGCUCACUGGCUCGAUACUGACGCUGAGGUGCGAAAGUGUGGGGAGCAAACAGGAUUAGAUACCCUGGUAGUCCACACCGUAAACGAUGAAUGCCAGUCGUCGGAUAGCAUGCUAUUCGGUGACACACCUAACGGAUUAAGC